rnacentral:rRNA from 1 species
UAACCAUGCAAGUCGAACGGUGAACACGGAGCUUGCUCUGUGGGAUCAGUGGCGAACGGGUGAGUAACACGUGAGCAACCUGCCCCUGACUCUGGGAUAAGCGCUGGAAACGGCGUCUAAUACUGGAUACGAGUAGCGACCGCAUGGUCAGUUACUGGAAAGAUUUAUUGGUUGGGGAUGGGCUCGCGGCCUAUCAGCUUGUUGGUGAGGUAAUGGCUCACCAAGGCGUCGACGGGUAGCCGGCCUGAGAGGGUGACCGGCCACACUGGGACUGAGACACGGCCCAGACUCCUACGGGAGGCAGCAGUGGGGAAUAUUGCACAAUGGGCGCAAGCCUGAUGCAGCAACGCCGCGUGAGGGAUGACGGCCUUCGGGUUGUAAACCUCUUUUAGCAGGGAAGAAGCGAAAGUGACGGUACCUGCAGAAAAAGCGCCGGCUAACUACGUGCCAGCAGCCGCGGUAAUACGUAGGGCGCAAGCGUUAUCCGGAAUUAUUGGGCGUAAAGAGCUCGUAGGCGGUUUGUCGCGUCUGCUGUGAAAUCCGGAGGCUCAACCUCCGGCCUGCAGUGGGUACGGGCAGACUAGAGUGCGGUAGGGGAGAUUGGAAUUCCUGGUGUAGCGGUGGAAUGCGCAAAUAUCAGGAGGAACACCGAUGGCGAAGGCAGAUCUCUGGGCCCGUAACUGACGCUGAGGAGCAAAAAGGGUGGGGGAGCAAACAGGCUUAAUAUACCCUGGUUAGUUCCCACCCCGUAAACGAUUGGGGAACAAGUUGU